CCUACGGGAGGCAGCAGUGGGGAAUAUUGCACAAUGGGGGAAACCCUGAUGCAGCGACGCCGCGUGAGUGAAGCAGUAAUUCGUUACGUAAAGCUCUAUCUGCAGGGAAGUAAAUGACGGUACCUGAGUAAGAAGCCACGGCUAACUACGUUCCAGCAGCCGCGGUAAGAUGUAGGGAGCAAGCGUUAUCCGGAUUUACUGGGUGUAAAGGGAGCGUAGGCGGUGCGCCAGGUCUGGUGUGAGAUGACGCAGCUGAACCGCGGAAUUGCUUUGGAAACUGGCGAACUAGAGAGCGGAAGGGGUAGGCGGAAUUCCUAGUGUAGUGGUGAAAUGCGUAGAUAUUAGGAGGAACACCGGUGGCGAAGGCGGCUGACUGGACCGUAACUGACGUUGAGGCUCGAAAGCGUGGGGAGCAAACAGGAUUAGAUACCCUGGUAGUC
rnacentral:rRNA from 1 species